rnacentral:rRNA from 1 species
UACGAAGGGGGCUAGCGUUGCUCGGAAUUACUGGGCGUAAAGGGCGCGUAGGCGGACAGUUUAGUCAGAGGUGAAAGCCCAGGGCUCAACCUUGGAAUUGCCUUUGAUACUGGCUGUCUUGAGUUCGGGAGAGGUGAGUGGAAUGCCGAGUGUAGAGGUGAAAUUCGUAGAUAUUCGGCGGAACACCAGUGGCGAAGCGGACU